UGGGGAAUAUUGGACAAUGGGCGCAAGCCUGAUCCAGCCAUACCGCGUGGGUGAAGAAGGCCUUCGGGUUGUAAAGCCCUUUUGUUGGGAAAGAAAUCCAGCUGGUUAAUACCCGGUUGGGAUGACGGUACCCAAAGAAUAAGCACCGGCUAACUUCGUGCCAGCAGCCGCGGUAAUACGAAGGGUGCAAGCGUUACUCGGAAUUACUGGGCGUAAAGCGUGCGUAGGUGGUCGUUUAAGUCUGUUGUGAAAGCCCUGGGCUCAACCUGGGAACUGCAGUGGAAACUGGACGACUAGAGUGUGGUAGAGGGUAGCGGAAUUCCUGGUGUAGCAGUGAAAUGCGUAGAGAUCAGGAGGAACAUCCAUGGCGAAGGCAGCUACCUGGACCAACACUGACACUGAGGCACGAAAGCGUGGGGAGCAAACAGGAUUAGAUACCCUGGUAGUCCACGCCCUAAACGAUGCGAACUGGAUGUUGGGUGCAAUUUGGCACGCAGUAUCGAAGCUAACGCGUUAAGUUCGCCGCCUGGGGAGUACGGUCGCAAGACUGAAACUCAAAUGAAUUGACGGGGUCAUAGCGUGUUUCC
rnacentral:rRNA from 1 species